CUGUCUCAGACGUACUUAUAUAUAUACAACUCGUCUAAACAUCAACCUCGUUUCUGUGUUUGUUACAUUUUAACGUUGCGUCGUUUGUUUUCUCUUAUUUUUGAGUGUAAAUUCACAUUGUGAUAAGACGUGUCACGGUACUUGUCUAUCCCAAAUUCAUGUAUUUGGUUUUGAUGUUAUAUUUGUUAUUCUCGUGGGAUUUUGUCUGAUGCUUGGCCCGUUUCUGUGUGUGUUACAUUGUAGUGUUGUGUCGUUGUUCUCCUCUUAUAUUUAAUGCGUUUCCCUCAGUUUUAGUUUGUUACCCCGAUUUUGUUUUUUGUCCAUGGAUUUAUGAGUUUGAACAGCGGUAUACUACUGUAGCCUUUAUGUAAAAGUAUUGUCUGUUAAUACAAAUUUGGCAGUCAUAUAUAUAUAUAUACCUGAUGCAAUUGUUGAAAGCUAGCUUUUUUUUGUGAUUGGGUUGUUGACACUUCAACACCUACUAACCAAGAAUUCUGUUCUAUGAGUAUUCCCCUUAAAUGACAUGAUCGACUGUAAAUUCUUCAAGACUGUCAGAAACUAUUUGGAGGAUUAUCUGUAGGCGAUAGUGUUUAUGAAAGAUUAGCUUUGUUUGUUAUGAUUUCAGCAAUGACCCUAUGUUAUAACACCAUUUAUAAACAAACAAACUCAAACGUUUAAUCUCUGUAUCUAUCCUUAAUUGUUUAUGACUGUUACGGGGAGGGCCAUUUGAUUAUAGUUGGUGGAGGGGAAGAGUAAAUACAAUCUAUUAAGAUUUGUUAGCUCUUCAGAUUUUUAAUGAGUUUUGGAUUUUCGAUUAUUUUGGCCUUCAGCAUCUCUGAAGACACAUUAAUUGUCGAAAAGCUAAUCUGGUACAGUAAAAUUGGUAUCAUUAAUGAUAUUAUCCAAUGAUUUCCAUUUCCGAUGGAACAUAAAUUAGAAAUAAGUGCGAGGAAGUAGCUUUAAGCUUUACAUAUUUUUGUGAGCAGCAGAAAAGAUUAGCAACACAUCUACAAUUAAGAUACAUGACAUUGACUCCUUAUUUUAAUGAAUUCCCUAAAAAAAGUUGAACACCAAUGUUUAUAUAUUGUUUUCAUGUGGGUUUAAACUUUUGAACAACUAUUCAAUGUACACCAAACUAAAUAUAUAUGAUCAGUAGUGUGUGAGAGAUUUUGUUAUAUACAGUUUCACUUAAAUAAUGAUCUGGUUUAUUAUUUCGACGUCG
rnacentral:lncRNA from 1 species